rfam:Triticum aestivum genome assembly, contig: Triticum_aestivum_CS42_TGACv1_scaffold_577284_7BL
CUAAUACUCCCUCCGUCCGGUAAUACUUGUCGGAGACAUGGAUGUAUCUAGAUAUAUUUUAGUUCUAUAUGCAUCCAUUUUUAUACAUUUCUCCGAUAAGUAUUUCGGGACGGAGGGAGUAUGUC